UGGGGAAUAUUGGACAAUGGGCGAAAGCCUGAUCCAGCAAUGCCGCGUGUGUGAAGAAGGCCUGCGGGUUGUAAAGCACUUUCAGUAGCGAAGAAAAGCCGGCGGUUAAUACCCGACCGGUCUUGACGUAACCUACAGAAGAAGCACCGGCUAACUCCGUGCCAGCAGCCGCGGUAAUACGGAGGGUGCAAGCGUUAAUCGGAAUUACUGGGCGUAAAGCGCGCGUAGGUGGUUGGGUAAGUCAAAUGUGAAAGCCCCGGGCUUAACCUGGGAAUUGCAUUCGAUACUGCUUAACUAGAGUGUGGGAGAGGGAAGUGGAAUUUCCGGUGUAGCGGUGAAAUGCGUAGAUAUCGGAAGGAACACCAGUGGCGAAGGCGACUUCCUGGCCCAACACUGACACUGAGGCGCGAAAGCGUGGGUAGCAAACA
rnacentral:rRNA from 1 species